UGUAUCGAGGUCAAAAUUACGCUUUGGAGAACAGAUUUGUAUCGUAAAAUCGAGAAUAUCGUUGUAUCCAAUAUCGUUAGAUUGAGGUAAUUUCUCAUAUAUUUCACUGUAUUUUGCCGGGAGAAAUGAACCUCAUCGUAAAAUCCAGGUUUCACUGUAUAACGAUGCAAUAUUUUCCUUGCCAUAUUGUAAUAGCAGUUUUUGGUGUAUCGAAGAGUGGGAAAGCCCUCUUUUUUUUAUCCAAAGGAACUCGUUUUUUUUUUUAUCGAGUUAAGAGCCGGUACUUCUCAAGUCACGUCAAGGCUUCCGGUCCCUGAGGAAGUGCUAAAACGCGUCAGAUCUUCCGUCUCAUGAGAUAAAGUGUUAUUUAUUAACUUUAGUGUUCAUUGAACGAGCGAUAAAAAGAACACGAAAAUAACAAACAGAAAACAAAGUCAGCCACAGAGCACUACAGAAUCAAGGCCCAAAGAGGAAAGGCGCUUCCCAAUAGGUUUGCUCAGAGUAUUUGGUCAUCAAUGAAUGUCAGGUGAAGAAAUUCAGCUCAUCACAGCAAACACCACAAUACACAACUCCAAAAGGUGCACAACAAAGGGUGAGCUGGUGGCAUGAGAUCCCUUUUUAGGGUCACACCUAUGCUUUUAAGUUACAUAAUGUAGUCAUUCGGAAAAAAACAUUACCUUCCUCGUGUUUUAAAUAUGGAGAACCACAUCUCAUACUGUGUUCUAGCUCUGUAUAAAAAGAAACCAUUCUGUCAAUAAAUGGCUGUUAUGAUAAAAAGGUGAAAUUUUGGGAGAAGUAUUGCAAGGCUAGUCAGAACUAAGUAGAUUUCUACAUGGUUCUUCAGUAGAACGAAAGUUUAUUUUGUUCAUCAUACCAGCCAAACAAAAGGAGAAAUACAUUUUCAAUGAUAGAUUACCUUGAUAUUGAGCUGAUUAGCCCUGGUAAAACUUUCUCAUAUUGUUAACUUCGCACUUCAUGCUUCAAAAGUGAAUGGAAAAACCACGUGCAGAAGGCCUUGGCAGUGCAUCUGAAGCUUUCAAUAGAAAAAGCAAAUGGUAGUCAGUGAUCAUGUGACCGGGAUUCUUUACACGUUUUCUAGCGAACAUUCUGCUUAGCGGUUCAAACCAUCAGAGACUUAAAUACUGGCUCAUCCUGCUCACAAAUAAAGCAGUCAACUUUGCAUUAUUCGCAUCACUUGGUUCGAACACAAACCGAUAACCGAUAGCAUCUAAGGUUUCGCAAGGCUUUGCCACGUGUUUGACAGUACAACGGGCAACAAAUAUUUUCAUAUUAUUUACUAGAUAAGUACGAGGAAUUUGGGUCAGAAAGGUGUACUGAGAUAAGAAGGACGUCGAGUGUACAUCCAGGCGCAGAUUAGAUGCAGAAUAC